UGGCUCAGAUGGUAAAGCAUCUGCCUGGAAUGCAGAAGACCCAGAUUUGAUCCCUGG
rnacentral:tRNA from 1 species